rnacentral:rRNA from 1 species
ACUGUCGUUGAAAAGCCAGGGGAUGACUUGUGGAUAGGGGUGAAAGGCUAAUCAAGCCUGGUGAUAGCUGGUUCUCCCCGAAAGCUAUUUAGGUAGCGCCUCGGACGAAUACCAUAGGGGGUAGAGCACUGUUUCGGCUAGGGGGUCAUCCCGACUUACCAAACCGAUGCAAACUCCGAAUACCUAUGAGUACUAUCCGGGAGACAGACUGCGGGUGCUAACGUCCGUAGUCAAGAGGAAAACAAUCCAGACCGCCAGCUAAGGCCCCAAAAUCAUAGUUAAGUGGGAAACGAUGUGGGAAGGCAUAGACAGCUAGGAGGUUGGCUUAGAAGCAGCCACCCUUUAAAGAAAGCGUAAUAGCUCACUAGUCGAGUCGGCCUGCGCGGAAGAUGUAACGGGGCUAAAACUAUGUGCCGAAGCUGCGGAUUUGACAUUAGUCAAGUGGUAGGGGAGCGUUCUGUAAGCCGAUGAAGGUGUAUUGAGAAGUAUGCUGGAGGUAUCAGAAGUGCGAAUGCUGACGUGAGUAACGACAAAACGGGUGAAAAACCCGUUCGCCGAAAGACCAAGGGUUCCAGUCCAACGUUAAUCGGGGCUGGGUGAGUCGACCCCUAAGGCGAGGCCGAAAGGCGUAGUCGAUGGGAAAUUGGUUAAUAUUCCAAUACUUCUGUGUAAUGCGAUGAGAGGACGGAGAAGGUUAAGUCAGCCUGGCGUUGGUUGUCCAGGUGGAAGGAUGUAGGUAUGUAUCUUAGGCAAAUCCGGGGUACUCUAUACUGAGAUCCGAUAGCAAGCUGUACUUGUACAGUGAAGUGGCUGAUACCAUGCUUCCAGGAAAAGUCUCUAAGCUUCAGUUACACAGGAAUCGUACCCGAAACCGACACAGGUGGUCAGGUCGAGUAGACCAAGGCGCUUGAGAGAACUCUGCUGAAGGAACUAGGCAAAAUGGUACCGUAACUUCGGGAGAAGGUACGCUGUUGUUGGUGAUGGAACUUGCUUCCUGAGCUGACGACAGCCGCAGAAACCAGGCCGCUGCAACUGUUUAUUAAAAACAUAGCACUCUGCAAACACGAAAGUGGACGUAUAGGGUGUGAUGCCUGCCCGGUGCUGGAAGGUUAAUUGAUGGGGUUAGCGUAAGCGAAGCUCUUGAUCGAAGCCCCAGUAAACGGCGGCCGUAACUAUAACGGUCCUAAGGUAGCGAAAUUCCUUGUCGGGUAAGUUCCGACCUGCACGAAUGGCAUAAUGAUGGCGGCGCUGUCUCCAGCAGAGGCUCAGUGAAAUCGAAAUCGCUGUGAAGAUGCAGUGUACCCGCGGCUAGACGGAAAGACCCCGUGAACCUUUACUGCAGCUUGACACUGAACUUUGACCUUACUUGUGUAGGAUAGGUGGGAGGCUUUGAAGUUGGAACGCUAGUUCCAAUGGAGCCGUCCUUGAAAUACCACCCUGGUAAUGUUGAGGUUCUAACUCUGUCCCGUUAUCCGGGACGAGGACCGUGUCUGGUGGGUAGUUUGACUGGGGCGGUCUCCUCCUAAAGAGUAACGGAGGAGUACGAAGGUGCGCUCAGCGUGGUCGGAAAUCACGCGUAGAGUAUAAAGGCAAAAGCGCGCUUAACUGCGAGACCCACAAGUCGAGCAGGUACGAAAGUAGGUCUUAGUGAUCCGGUGGUUCUGUAUGGAAGGGCCAUCGCUCAACGGAUAAAAGGUACUCUGGGGAUAACAGGCUGAUACCGCCCAAGAGUUCAUAUCGACGGCGGUGUUUGGCACCUCGAUGUCGGCUCAUCUCAUCCUGGGGCUGAAGCAGGUCCCAAGGGUAUGGCUGUUCGCCAUUUAAAGAGGUACGCGAGCUGGGUUUAGAACGUCGUGAGACAGUUCGGUCCCUAUCUACCGUGGGCGCUGGAAAUUUGAGAGGAUCUGCUCCUAGUACGAGAGGACCAGAGUGGACGAACCUCUGGUGUACCGGUUGUGACGCCAGUCGCAUCGCCGGGUAGCUAUGUUCGGAAGGGAUAACCGCUGAAAGCAUCUAAGCGGGAAGCCUACCUCAAGAUAAGAUUUCCCUAGGAAUUUAUUCCUCUAAAGAGCCGUUCGAGACUAGGACGUUGAUAGGUUGGAUGUGGAAGCAUAGUGAUAUGUGAAGCUGACCAAUACUAAUUGCUCGUGAGGCUUGACUAUACAACACCCAAGCAGUUG